rnacentral:tRNA from 1 species
GUUAGUCUAAUUUAAAUAAAAUUUUUGUUUUGCAGAUGAACUAUGAGGAAAAUUCUCGAUUAACA